rnacentral:hammerhead_ribozyme from 1 species
GUACUGAUGAAGAGUCCCAAACUGGGACGAAACAGCUGUCCAGUAG